GCAAAGGACCAAUCAGAAACGUCGAGUUGAAUCACGGUGUGUUCUUGAUGGAUGUAUUUUUCACGUAUUAAUUGGAGAACAAUAUCAACUUUAGAUUGUGUGUCCGCUUGUGUUUAAAACUAUUUAUAUUUAAGAAUACUCUCAAAUAUGAAAUGCAAUAAGGGAUUCUUGAGAAGAAUUGUGGCCUGAUGAAACAAAGUCUGAAACAACUUAGUCAUCAAGAAUUGAUAUAACUGACUAAGAUAGCUAUUGACAAUGUUAUUGACAGUGAUCCAUUGUUCUCUGCAUUAUUCUCAGAUAGUUACGAUAGAAGAACUUAUAUCACAGGUUCUACCACGUGACAAGACAGUUCUUCAUCUUGAGAAGGCUAUUGUGCGAAGGCUAUCGUGUGUAUUUUGAUGAAAAAACAUCAGGAAAAAACUCAUAAGAUGCAAUAAGAGAUACUUCAUUAGAAUUGUAACAAU